UACGUAGGUCCCGAGCGUUGUCCGGAUUUAUUGGGCGUAAAGCGAGCGCAGGUGGUUUAAUAAGUCUGAUGUAAAAGGCAGUGGCUCAACCAUUGUGUGCAUUGGAAACUGUUAGACUUGAGUGCAGUAGAGGAGAGUGGAAUUCCAUGUGUAGCGGUGAAAUGCGUAGAUAUGUGGAGGAACACCGGUGGCGAAAGCGGCUCUCUGGACUGUAACUGACACUGAGGCUCGAAAGCGUGGGUAGCAAACAGG
rnacentral:rRNA from 1 species